UGGGGAAUAUUGCACAAUGGGCGGAAGCCUGAUGCAGCGACGCCGCGUGAGGGAUGACGGCCUUCGGGUUGUAAACCUCUUUCGACAGGGACGAAGCGAGAGUGACGGUACCUGGAGAAGAAGCACCGGCCAACUACGUGCCAGCAGCCGCGGUAAGACGUAGGGUGCGAGCGUUGUCCGGAUUUAUUGGGCGUAAAGAGCUCGUAGGCGGCUCGUCGCGUCGACCGUGAAAACCCGCAGCUUAACUGCGGGCUUGCGGUUGAUACGGGCGGGCUAGAGUUCGGUAGGGGAGACUGGAAUUCCUGGUGUAGCGGUGAAAUGCGCAGAUAUCAGGAGGAACACCGGUGGCGAAGGCGGGUCUCUGGGCCGAUACUGACGCUGAGGAGCGAAAGCGUGGGGAGCGAACAGGAUUAGAUACCCUGGUAGUCCACGCUGUAAACGUUGGGCGCUAGGUGUGGGGGGCCUCUCCGGUUCUCUGUGCCGCAGCUAACGCAUUAAGCGCCCCGCCUGGGGAGUACGGCCGCAAGGCUAA
rnacentral:rRNA from 1 species